CGGAGAUCUAGCAGGGUUGUCAACAUGAAAUGCUACGUUUUAAUAGGCCUUGUCUGCUUUCUUCUUCUCAUUGAAAAGCGAGUAGGACAACCCAAUGAACAUGUGAAAGAAUAUCGGCUACAAUCUUAAUACAAUGCAGAAGAACCCCAUGUACUUGUUGAAGAAAGAAGCGGGCACAGAAGGCGAUACGACUGCAAAGCGAAGGGAGGACGCUGCAAGAUAAAUCCAAGAUGUGGUAAAAGGCGACCUAUAAACGGCACAUGCGCUCCCAACAGAACUUGCUGCAGUUGGCCAUAAUGACGCCGCAUAGCGACUUCCUAA